AUCUUCUACACGCGCCACGACACCAAAGCGGUCGUGCAUAUUGUGUUGUUAUGAAAAAAUAGGUAAGGAUUACUUUCAUUCUCAAAAUAAAAGUAUUACUUAGACGUAAUAAUACAACAGUAAAUAAAUACUAUUACUCAUUGCUUUAGUUAUUUAUUGCGAUGCCAAGAUUGUCAAGUGGAUCGAGAGACAUUAUAAACACAGUUAAAUAGCAUUGUGUUGUGUGCAAUUUUGCAAAAGAUAAUAUCGUUAUAAAAAACCUUUAUACCGUAGUUUUCAAAAUGAAUGAAAAAAGGUCGCAAGCUGACGUGAGUCCAGAGUUUUGUAUCGUAAGCUACCAUUCGCCAUCGCUUGCAUACUGUUGCCAUACGACAUAUUUCCCGAUGGGUCAAAUACGAAAAUAUAUUUAGAAGCACCUUAUCUGGUAGUUUUUCUAUAGUCUGAAACAAUUAUAAAUUGUAACUGCACACGUGAUUUUUUACUUAAUAAAAAACAGCGUAAAUGUAA